rnacentral:pre_miRNA from 1 species
CUCUGUGUUCUUCCACAGCUUUCUUGAACUGCUUAAUUCUCUUAUCUAAUUAUAUAUCGGUCGGAUCUAGCUAGAUUUGGAUGGCUUUACAGCAGUUCAAUAAAGCUGUGGGAAGAUACGGCGA